rnacentral:lncRNA from 1 species
UGGGAAUAUGGCUACAAAGAAAAUUUCGUCAUUCCCUUCUCGUGAGCUCUGUUAUAUGGUGGAUAUUCCUUCUUCAGUGUUUUUUAGAUCAACUUUUCUCCUAGGGUUAAUGAGGCUCUUGCUGAAGAUCAACUAUGUCUGGAGAAUGGUUUUCGCAGAGUCUGAAAGCUCGUCUCACCUAUUUUGUUGUACCUUGCCUUCAGACUGGAAGAAGUAUGACAAAUGAAGAUGUCAUUUCCUAUACGCUUACAUAGUUCAGUAGAAUCCAGAUUUAUUUGCUUUUAGAUAGUACUGCAAAAUAAUGAAAACUACCUACAAAGUGACAGAGAAAAUAACCUGAAAAAUAUAUCUUAUUUCUGAUUUUAAGAAUGAAAUGAUUGUAUGGCCAGUGGAUGCAUAAGUAUGCCUAUCCUCUAUUUAGUUUUCUUUCUGAUACUCAGAUGCUGUUCUUUAUUUUUAAUCUGGUGGUCCUGAUGUGGUUCUAUAUUUCUGUCAGAAUAAGAUUCUCUUAAUUGUGUUAAUAAAAAAUUGUUUAGUUUCA